rnacentral:tRNA from 2 species
GGAGAGAUGGCCGAGUCGGGUCGAAGGCGCUCGAUUGCUAAUCGAGUGUACCCCCAAAAGGGGUACCAAGGGUUCAAAUCCCUUUCUCUCCG